rnacentral:lncRNA from 10 species
CUGAAUGUGGCUGGCACAUGAACUCGAUGUGCUGACAGCAAUUUGUACUCCGAUUAAAAUAGGGGGGAAAAAAGGAAAGAGAGUGCACAGCAGUAACAAAAAUGAAAUGCAAGAACCCCUAAACCAUGCAAUUUGUAUUUUAGGAAGCAAAACUGAGAAAGAGGCUCCAUAACUUAAAAAACAAAAAACAAAAAGCUGUAAAUGCUCCAGCCUAAAGACAUUAGCUCUGAAUCUUGCUGUUGUCCAGGCUGAAGCACAAUGGCACAAUCACGGCUCUCUGCUGUAGCAUUCAUCUCCAGAGCUCAAGUGAUUCUUCCACCUCAGCCUCCCAAGUAGCUGGGACUACAGGGACGUGACACCACACUUGACUAAUUCUCUUGAUGCUUUUUAGUAGAGAUGGGGCCUCACUAUGCUGUCCUGGCUGGUCUCGAAUUCCUAAGCUCAAGAGAUCCUCCUGCCUCGGCCUCCCAAAGUGCUGGAAUUACAGGCAUGAGCCACUGUGCCCAGCUAAGACUAUCUUUGAGAUAUAUUCAAUACUUUUUUUUUGAGACAGAGUCUUGCUUUGUCAUCCAGGCUGGAGUGCAGUAGCACCAUCUCGACUCACUGCAACCCCUGCCUCCCGGGUUCAAG